AACUUAAGCAUAUCAAUAAGCGGAGGAAAAGAAACUAACAAGGAUUCCCCUAGUAACUGCGAGUGAAGCGGGAAAAGCUCAAAUUUAAAAUCUGUUGGCAUUGGCCAUCCGAGUUGUAAUCUAGAGAAGUGUUACCCGUGCUGGACCGUGUACAAGUCUCCUGGAAUGGAGCAUCACAGAGGGUGAGAAUCCCGUCUUUGACAUGGACUACCAGUGCUUUUGUGGUAUGCUCUCAAAGAGUCGAGUUGUUUGGGAAUGCAGCUCAAAAUGGGUGGUAAAUGCCAUCUAAAGCUAAAUAUUGGCGAGAGACCGAUAGCGAACAAGUACCGUGAGGGAAAGAUGAAAAGAACUUUGGAAAGAGAGUUAAACAGUACGUGAAAUUGCUGAAAGGGAAACGCUUGAAGUCAGUCGCGUUGACUUGAAAUCAACCCUGCUUUUGCUGGGUGUAUUUUCUUGUCAAUGGGUCAGCAUCAAUUUUGACCAUUGGAUAAAGUUAUUGGGAAUGUGGCAUCUUUGGAUGUGUUAUAGCCUAAUGAUGCAUACAGUGGUUGGGAUUGAGGAAUUCAGCACGCCAUAAGGCCGGGUUUCGACCACGUCCGUGCUUAGGAUGCUGGCAUAAUGGCUUUAAUCGACCCGUCUUGAAACACGGACCAAGGAGUCUAACAUGCCUGCAAGUGUUUGGGUGGAAAACCCAUGCGCGUAAUGAAAGUGAAAGUUGAGAUCCCUUUGGGGAGCAUCGACGCCCGGACCAGACCUUUUGUGACGGAUCUGCGGUAGAGCAUGUAUGUUGGGACCCGAAAGAUGGUGAACUAUGCCUGAAUAGGGUGAAGCCAGAGGAAACUCUGGUGGAGGCUCGUAGCGAUUCUGACGUGCAAAUCGAUCGUCAAAUUUGGGUAUAGGGGCGAAAGACUAAUCGAACCAUCUAGUAGCUGGUUCCUGCCGA
rnacentral:rRNA from 1 species